CUCUUGGAGUGGUUGGCAUUAGGAAGGGCAUCCAACUGUAGAAACUCAGCCAGAUCAGAUUGGAGCUUGGUGCUGCCACCUGGUUUGCCAGACCUCAGUCAAAUCAUCCAACACAUGCUAGCAUGGAAAGCAGACAUUAAACGAUGAUGAUGAUGAUGAUUAUGAAGUUCACAAAAUAAACUAAUGGAGGUUAAAUUUUAUUAAUGAUCUUCCAGUCUGGGCUAUGGUUAUACUCAGAAUGCAAGGUAGUAGAUUGAUCACAGAUACAGAAAAUAAUUAUGUGUGGAAGAUGAAAAUGAGAAAAUUAGCAUUAAGAGUACAUGUGAAAUAAAAUCUUUAAAUAGUGGUGAUGCCCCAGCAUGGCCACAGCCUUCGGGCUAAAACAUUUUUAAGGAUUUAGCUCAGAAGGCUCUCAAGAAGUAGUUGACAGCUUUUGUCACCUUUACUGCUAAUUUGUAGCCUAAUUAGCAAUGAAGUUGUGUACUGAAAGCUUAGUAGCCACUAAGGAUGGAGGUAAAAAAAAAAUUUAGGGAGCUGUUGCUUCUACAUUAUUACAAAGGAUUCUGUUAUUCAGCUGGACAACUGAUUGCAGUGAUUUUUCCAUUCACCGUUCUCUAUCAAUACAUGGAUUUUGUCUUAACAUUGCCAUUCAGCCUUCAGGGGGUUAUCAUAAUCAUCGUCAUUUAAUGACUGCCUUCCAUACUGGCAUGGUUGGGAUGGUUUGACAGGGGCCAGCCAGGUAGAAGCCUGCACCAGAGUUCUGUGACUGCUUUGGCAGGAUUUUUACAGCUGGAUGCUCUUCCUAACACCAACCAUCCAGCAAAGUGGACUUAGUGCUUUCUAUGUGGCACAUGCACAGGCAAGGUGGAACAAGCACAAGUGAGGUGGCACAAGCACAGGUGAGGUGGAGCAAGCACAGGUGAGGUUCCACAAGUACAGGUGAGGUGCCACAAGCACAGGUGAGGUUCCACAAGUACAGGUGAGGUUCCACAAGCACAGGUGAGGUUCCACAAGCACAGGUGAGGUUCCACAAGCACAGGUGAGGUUGGCACAAGCACAGGUGAGGUUGGUACAAGCACAGGUGAGGUGGAGCAAGCACAGGUGAGGUGGCACAAGCAUAGGCAAGGUAGCACAAGAACAGGUGAGAUGGCACAAGCACAAGUGAGGUUGGCGCAAGCACAAGUGAGGUUGGUACAAGCACAGGUGAGGUGGAACAAGCACAGGUAAGGUGGCACAAUCAUAGGCAAAGUUGGUACAAGCACAGGUGAAGUUGGCACAAGCACAGGUGAGGUAGCACAAGCACAGGUAAGGUGGCACAAUCAUAGGCAAAGUUGGUACAAGCACAGGCAAGGUGGCACAAGCACAGGUGAGGUUGGCACAAGCACAGGUAAGGUGGCACAAUAAUAGGAAAAAUAAAGUACCAGUUGCACACUAGAUUAGCUUCACAGACUCAUAAUUGUUGAUUAUGAUUUCAUGCAGAAUUGUUUAAUAUAAAAUAUCAUUUGUGUGUGUAUGGUGCGUGCAUGUGUGUGUUCGUGUCCCCACAAAAAAUUCAUAAAUAAUGGAUGUUGCAUACAACAAGGUUUACAAGGAGCUGAAACAGAUAUUUGUUAAAUAGAUAUUGUGAAAGCAGAAUGAAAACAGUACGACUGUAAUGAGAUCUUGGUUAGUUUACUCAAAAGAGUAAAGGCUGGAUAUAGCGAUUUUAUUUGUACAUUCUUUUCUAAUUAACAAAUAUGUCAUUUGUAACAAAUGUGUUUUCUGAUUAGCUGUAUAUACUUACAACUUUAAACAGCAGGAAGAUAUGGAAGCAUUGAAGAAACAGCAUUGAAGACAAAGAUGAUACGUUGUGCUGAGCGAGGUCAUUGCCAGUACCGCCUGGCUAGCCCCCGUGCCGGUGGCACGUAAAAAGCACCCACUACACUCUCAGAGUGGUUGGCGUUAGGAAGGGCAUCCAGCUGUAGAAACUCUGCCAAAUCAAGAUUGGAGCCUGGUGCAGCCAUCACGUUCGCCAGCCCUCAGGCAAAAUCGUCCAAUCCAUGCUAGCAUGGAAAGCGGACGUUAAAUGAUGAUGAUGAUGAUGAUGAUGAACAUAAGCUUUUAUUUGAUAUUAGUCAUGGUUUCAACAUGAAGAGCUCAGAGAACUCUUUAAAAACAUUAAAAGACAUGUAGACUAUGUACCAUGUAAAGACUAUUCAAGUAAUCCUAUAGAAGAUAAGCAAUAUUCAUUGGACAUGAAGUUUUUGAAUAUUUUGACAUUUUCAAGAACUGCCUGUUUUUUUUUGUUGUUGUUUGUUUUUCCUGAAUAUCCCAAUAUGCUUAAAAUAACAUUUUCUGGAGGAUUUUAAACACAGGAUAAUCUAAAUUUAGAGCCUAAAUGUAAGCAGAUGGUAACCACAUUAUGAAGCAGUAAACAAUUAACAAUUGAUACACCGGGAUUUUUACAAACUCUCAAAUAUAUAUUUGAAAACUGGAAAGAAAAGCUUGAAUGAGACACAAAGAAUUCAUACUUGAUAAAGUUGGACUUAGGAAAUACUCUUGUAACAGUAGCUUAGGAAGAAGAGUUGGAGAAUUUCCUCAAAACAAGAAACUCCAAAUCUCUGGUUUUUGAUGUAUCUGAAAGUUAUUUUCUAUAAAGUUUAUUUUUGUUCAUAAAAGAGAGAAGUUAGACAAGACUGCACUCUAAGAAUCACAAGUAACAAUGUUUGAAUGAAGACAGCACCUCAAGUUAUUCUCAGCGCUACAAGGAAAUUAUCAGAUAGAGCAAGGAGUAUUGCUUCUUUGAGAUGAGAUAAAUUUAAGAUAGCAAUUCUAAAUCAAAUCUAUAACUUAUAUGCACAGGAGUGGCUGUGUGGUAAGUAGCUUACUUACCAACCACAUAGUCCUGGAUUCAGUCCCAUUGCGUGGCACCUUGCGCAAGCGUCUUCUACUAUAGCCUCGGGCCAACCAGAGCCUUGUGAGUGGAUUUAGUAAACAGAAACUGAAAGAAGCCCAUCGUGUAUAUAUAAAUAUAUAUAUAUAUAUAUAUAUAUAUAUAUAUACGUAUGUGUGUGUAUAUGUUUGUGUGUCUGUGUUUGUUCCCCUAGCAUUGCUUGACAACCGAUGCUAGUGUGUUUACGUCCCUGUAACUUAGUGGUUCGGCAAAAGAGACUGAUAGAAUAAGUACUAGGCUUACAAAUACUAAGUCCUAGGGUCGAUUUGCUCGUCUAAAGGCAGUGCUCCAGCAUGGCCACAGUCAAAUGACUGAAACAAGUAAAAGAGUAACUGUUUGGUACUUUGCUUGUAUGAUUGGCUUGUAUGAGCAGAUUGCAAAACAAAUUCAAGUUCCUCUUAGAAUUGGUAACCAAUACUGAAAUUGAUGAAGGUGAUAUUAAACUUAUCAUUACAAAGAUAACACUGACCACAAAUUAGUAAACGAAUGUUAUCAGUUCAGAGACUAUUAGCAACUUAGGAAACCUCAGAACACAAAAGAAAAUAUGUCAUCCAAAAUGCAAUACAUAGGAAUUCUUCAACUUAUUUUUGAGCAACACUUCACUGAAAUGUUCUGCAAUAUUACUACUACACUUGAGCUGUACUUGAUAAUGUCUAACCAGAGUUGUGAAUCAGAAAGGAAUUUCUCAAAAUGAGUCUUUAUAAAGAACAAAUUUUGGUUUACCAUAGCUGAAAAGUGCAUAAAUUCUUCAUCCAUAAAAUAGAGUAAAGACACCCUUUGGUCAUGAAUAACCAUGGGAUUGCAUCUAGAAAGUUACCCUCUGAAGCAAGGUUCUUUGUAGAAGACCAGCAGUCGCUCAUGCAUACCAGCCUCCUCUUUCCAAGCCACUGAUGUUGUCCAAGGCAAUGGCAAAGGCCAAUACAGCAUGGCAACAAUGAUGUCGCAACUCGUUUCUACAGCUGAAUGAACUGGAGCAAUGUGAAAUAAAGUGUCUUGCUCAAGAACACAACACACAGCCCGGUCCGGGAAUCGAACUCACAAUGUCACGAUUGUAAGCCUGAUGCUCUAACCACUGAGCCAUGUGACUUCACAAUCAAUAAAAUAUUUCUUAGAAAAACAUUACAAUGAAGUUCUCAUACUACAAAGAGUACAUGCAUUCUUUUAUACCUUCAUUCAUUUCAGUUAUUUGACUGCGGCCAUGCCGGAGCACUGCCUUUAGUUGAACAAAUCAACCCCAGGACUUAUUCUUUGUAAGCUUAGUGCUCAUUCUAUCGGCCUAUUUUGCUGAGCCACUAAGUUACGGGGACGCAAAUACACUACCAUUGGUUGUCAAACGAUGGUGGCUGGGGGGGGGGGAGGAACACAGACAUACACACACACACAUAUAUAAAUAUGACAAGCUUCUUUCAGUUUCCGUCUACCAAAUCCACUCACAAGGAUUUGGUCAGCCCGAGGCUAUAAUAGAAGACACUUGACCAAGGUGCCAUGCAGUGGGACUGAACCUGGAACCAUGUGGCUGGUAAGCAAGUGACUUACCACACAGCCACUCCUGCGCUUUACAAAAAUCAAAAAAUAAAUAAUAGAGAAAAAGGAUUUUGUAAAAUGCACUUUAUGUAGUAUGUAUGUAUGUAUGCCUAUAGGGGUAUGAAAAGAUUAUAUUUGCAGUGGUCCUCCUGUUUUACAGCAACCAUUCUACAAUGCUUGACGUAGUAUAUAAACCAUUCCUAGUAUUCAUCCACUUGGCCGUUGCCAACCUACCCUGGCACAUGUGCCAGUGGCACGUAAAAAGCACCAUCCGUACGUGGCCAAUGCCAGCACCGCCUUGACUCGCUUCUGUGCCAGUGGCACGUAAAAAGCACCAUCCGUACGUGGCCA
rnacentral:lncRNA from 1 species